rnacentral:rRNA from 1 species
GUCUAUUUGAGAUUAAUUUAAAGUCUAACCUGCCCAUUGAAAUAAUUAAAAGGCUGCAGUAUUUUGACUGUACAAAGGUAGCAUAAUCAUUAGUUUUUUAAUUGGAAACUUGUAUGAAUGGUUGAAUGAGAAAUUAACUUUUUUAGAUAAAUAAUCGAAUUUUACUUUUUAAUAAAAAGGUUAAAAUUUAUUUAAAAGACGAGAAGACCCUAUAGAGUUUAAUAAUAAAUUUUAUAGCUUUUAUUAAGUUUAUUAAAAAUUUUAUAUUUUUUUAUUAUUUUGUUGGGGUGAUAAUAAAAUUUAAUAAACUUUUAAUAUAAAAAUUUACAUUAAUAUAUGAAUAAUUGAUCCAGUUUUAUUGAUUAUAAAUUUAAAUUACCUUAGGGAUAACAGCGUAAUUUUUUUUUAAGUUCAUAUUAAUAAAAAAUUUUGCGACCUCGAUGUUGGAUUAAGAUUUAAUUUUAGGUGCAGCAGUUUAAAUUUUAAGUCUGUUCGACUUUUAAAUUCUU